rnacentral:rRNA from 1 species
UACGAAGGGGGGCUAGCGUUGCUCGGAAUUACUGGGCGUAAAGGGCUCGUAGGCGGCCAACUAAGUCGGAUGUGAAAUCCCCAGGCUUAACCUGGGAACUGCAUCCGAUACUGGAUGGCUUGAAUCCGGGAGAGGGAUGCAGAAUUCCAGGUGUAGCGGUGAAAUGCGUAGAUAUCAGGAGGAACACCGGUGGCGAAGGCGGGUCUCUGGGCCGAUACUGACGCUGAGGAGCGAAAGCGUGGGGAGCGAACAGG